rnacentral:rRNA from 1 species
ACUCCUACGGGAGGCAGCAGUGGGGAAUAUUGCACAAUGGGCGAAAGCCUGAUGCAGCAACGCCGCGUGAGGGACGACGGCCUUCGGGUUGUAAACCUCUUUUAGUAGGGAAGAAGGGAGUGACGGUACCUGCAGAAAAAGCACCGGCUAACUACGUGCCAGCAGCCGCGGUAAUACGUAGGGUGCAAGCGUUGUCCGGAAUUAUUGGGCGUAAAGAGCUCGUAGGCGGUUUGUCGCGUCUGCUGUGAAAUCCCGAGGCUCAACCUCGGGUCUGCAGUGGGUACGGGCAGACUAGAGUGCGGUAGGGGAGAUUGGAAUUCCUGGUGUAGCGGUGGAAUGCGCAGAUAUCAGGAGGAACACCGAUGGCGAAGGCAGAUCUCUGGGCCGUAACUGACGCUGAGGAGCGAAAGCAUGGGGAGCGAACAGGAUUAGAUACCCUGGUAGUCCAUGCCGUAAACGUUGGGAACUAGAUGUAGGGACCAUUCCACGGUUUCUGUGUCGCAGCUAACGCAUUAAGUUCCCCGCCUGGGGAGUACGGCCGCAAGGCUAAAACUCAAAGGAAUUGACGGGGGCCCGCACAAGCGGCGGAGCAUGCGGAUUAAUUCGAUGCAACGCGAAGAACCUUACCAAGGCUUGACAUAUACCGGAAACGGCCAGAGGUGGUCGCCCCGCAAGGUCGGUAUACAGGUGGUGCAUGGUUGUCGUCAGCUCGUGUCGUGAGAUGUUGGGUUAAGUCCCGCAACGAGCGCAACCCUCGUUCUAUGUUGCCAGCACGUUAUGGUGGGAACUCAUAGGAGACUGCCGGGGUCAACUCGGA